rnacentral:snRNA from 1 species
UUGGUUGGUUAAUCCGAUCA